GCUUACGGCCACACCGCCUGGUUCACGCCUGAUCUCGGAAGCUAAGAUAGGUUGGGCCUGGUUAGUACUUGGAUGGGAGACCGCCUGGGAAUACCAUGUGCUGCAAGCU
rnacentral:rRNA from 1 species